rnacentral:lncRNA from 1 species
UGCAGUAGAUGGAUAGAGCAGGAACAAGUAGAGCCAGAGUGAGAGGAGAGAGGUUUGAGGAUAGGCAUGAGUGAGAGCUGGUGUAGAAGGAAAGGAGAGGUACAAUUGGAGCUAGAGUGAGAGGAGAGGUGAUCAGGUAUGAGCUUGAGCUGGAGUGGGAGGAGGGCAGAGAUAUGAGCCACUAGAGCCAAAGUCGAAGUGGGAGGAGAGGGGAGGCUUGAGUUGUC